AAAGUCGUAACAAGGUUUCCGUAGGUGAACCUGCGGAAGGAUCAUUACUGAAAGGGGACUCCGGUCCCCGGGACAAGCCCCCGUCGAGCCCUUGGGCUCCCCGGGCGGUGACACCCCUUACCCUUUGUUUACCCUACCUCUGUUGCUUUGGCAAGGUCCUCGCCCGGGUGGUUCCAGGCUUGGGCUCUGCCAGAGGGCCCCAACUCGUGGAUAGUUUUUGUUUGUCUGAGUACGAUAUAAUCGUUUACAACUUUUAACAAUGGAUCUCUUGGCUCUG
rnacentral:misc_RNA from 1 species